UGCAGUCGACGGCAGCACGGAGCUUGCUCUGGUGGCGAGUGGCGAACGGGUGAGUAAUAUAUCGGAACGUACCCUAGAGUGGGGGAUAACGUAGCGAAAGUUACGCUAAUACCGCAUACGAUCUAAGGAUGAAAGUGGGGGAUUCGCAAGAACCUCAUGCUCGUGGAGCGGCCGAUAUCUGAUUAGCUAGUUGGUAGGGUAAAAGCCUACCAAGGCAUCGAUCAGUAGCUGGUCUGAGAGGACGACCAGCCACACUGGAACUGAGACACGGUCCAGACUCCUACGGGAGGCAGCAGUGGGGAAUUUUGGACAAUGGGCGAAAGCCUGAUCCAGCAAUGCCGCGUGAGUGAAGAAGGCCUUCGGGUUGUAAAGCUCUUUUGUCAGGGAAGAAACGGUGGUUUCUAAUACAGAUCACUAAUGACGGUACCUGAAGAAUAAGCACCGGCUAACUACGUGCCAGCAGCCGCGGUAAUACGUAGGGUGCAAGCGUUAAUCGGAAUUACUGGGCGUAAAGCGUGCGCAGGCGGUUUUGUAAGUCUGUCGUGAAAUCCCCGGGCUCAACCUGGGAAUUGCGAUGGAGACUGCAAGGCUAGAGUUUGGCAGAGGGGGGUAGAAUUCCACGUGUAGCAGUGAAAUGCGUAGAUAUGUGGAGGAACACCGAUGGCGAAGGCAGCCCCCUGGGUCAAGACUGACGCUCAUGCACGAAAGCGUGGGGAGCAACAGGAUUAGAUACCCUGGUAGUCCACGCCCUAAACGAUGUCUACUAGUUGUCGGGUUUUAAUUAACUUGGUAACGCAGCUAACGCGUGAAGUAGACCGCCUGGGGAGUACGGUCGCAAGAUUAAAACUCAAGGAAUUGACGGGGACCCGCACAAGCGGUGGAUGAUGUGGAUUAAUUCGAUGCACGCGAAAACCUUACCUACCCUUGA
rnacentral:rRNA from 1 species